GCGCGCGUAGCUCAGUGGUUAGAGCGGGUGUCUUAUAAACACCAGGUCCCAGGUUCGAAUCCUGGCGCGCGCACCA
rnacentral:tRNA from 1 species